AGCAGUAGCCGCGGUAAUACGUAGGUGACAAGCGUUGUCCGGAAUUAUUGGGCGUAAAGGGCUCGCAGGCGGUUUCUUAAGUCUGAUGUGAAAGCCCCCGGCUCAACCGGGGAGGGUCAUUGGAAACUGGGAAACUUGAGUGCAGAAGAGGAGAGUGGAAUUCCACGUGUAGCGGUGAAAUGCGUAGAGAUGUGGAGGAACACCAGUGGCGAAGGCGACUCUCUGGUCUGUAACUGACGCUCAUGCACGAAAGCGUGGGGAGCAAACAGGAUUAGAUACCCGCGUAGUCCCUGUCUCUUAUAC
rnacentral:rRNA from 1 species